rnacentral:rRNA from 1 species
GUAUUAGAGGCAUUGCCUGCCCAGUGACUCUAGUUAAACGGCCGCGGUAUCCUGACCGUGCAAAGGUAGCAUAAUCAUUUGUUCUCUAAAUAGGGACUUGUAUGAAUGGCCUCACGAGGGUUUAACUGUCUCUUACUUUUAAUCAGUGAAAUUGACACUCCCGUGAAGAGGCGGGAAUUAAAAAAUAAGACGAGAAGACCCUAUGGAGCUUCAAUUAACUAACUUAUAAGUUAUAAUACUAAUCUAAAAGAGACAAAUCAAACUUGACUAAGUUAACAAUUUGGGUUGGGGCGACCUCGGAAUAAAAAUCAACUUCCGAGAUAGAUCUACUAAGACCUACAAGUCAAAGUUAUCUUACCACACAUUGAUCCGCCAAUGACGAUCAACGAAACAAGUUACCCUAGGGAUAACAGCGCAAUCCUAUUUAAGAGCCCAUAUCGACAAUUAGGGUUUACGACCUCGAUGUUGGAUCAGGACAUCCCAAUGGUGCAGCAGCUAUUAAUGUGUUCGUUUGUUCAACGAUUAAAGUCCUACGUGAUCUGAGU